rnacentral:rRNA from 1 species
UACAGAGGUCUCAAGCGUUGUUCGGAUUCAUUGGGCGUAAAGGGUGCGUAGGUGGCAAGGUAAGUCGGGUGUGAAAUCCUGGGGCUCAACCCCGGAACUGCACUCGAUACUGCCCUGCUCGAGUACUGGAGAGGAGACUGGAAUUUACGGUGUAGCAGUGAAAUGCGUAGAUAUCGUAAGGAAGACCAGUGGCGAAGGCGGGUCUCGGGACAGUUCCUGACGCUGAGGCACGAAGGCCAGGGGAGCAAACGGG